rnacentral:rRNA from 1 species
UACUUCUUCGGACAAUAUACAAGGUGCUGCAUGGUUGUCGUCAGCUCGUGCCGUGAGGUGUCGGGUUAAGUCCCAUAACGAGCGCAACCCCUAUCAUUAGUUGCCAUCAGGUCAAGCUGGGGACUCUAAUGAAACUGCCUACGCAAGUAGUGAGGAAGGCGGGGAUGACGUCAAAUCAGCACGGCCCUUACGUCCAGGGCUACACACGUGCUACAAUGGCCGAUACAGAGGGCAGCUACCUGGUGACAGGAUGCAAAUCUCCAAAGUCGGUCUCAGUUCGGAUCGGAGUCUGCAACCCGACUCCGUGAAGUUGGAUUCGCUAGUAAUCGCGCAUCAGCCAUGGCGCGGUGAAUACGUUCCCGGGUCUU